ensembl:lncRNA
UGAUUGAGUCCCCUUCAAACCUGUGUCCAACCUUUAUCCCAAAACAGGAUGUUGUGCAGAGGCCAUGAAAACACUGAUCCAAAUAAAAAGCUUACAGCACCUAGUAUUCCCAUUCAGUCUCCCAACCGAGUACUAACCAGGCCCAACUCUGCUUUGCUUCCGAGGUCAGAUGAGAUCAGGCUUUUUCAGAGUGGUAUGGCCGUAAGCGAAAGCUGACCCCAAAUGGGGCCUAUUUUAAAUAGUGUAAUCAAAAGACUGACUGACUGAUUGAUUGAUUGAUUGGGUCCCCUUCAAACCUGUGUCCAACCUUUAUCCCAAAACAGGAUGUUGUGCAGAGGCCAUGAAAACACUGAUCCAAAUAAAAAGCUUACAGCACCUAGUAUUCCCAUUCAGUCUCAUAACCAAGUACUAACCAGGCCCAACUCUGCUUUGCUUCCGAGGUCAGAUGAGAUCAGGCUUUGUCAGAGUGGUAUGGCCGUAAGCGAAAGCUGACCCCAAAUGGGGCCUAUUUAAAUAGUGUAAUCAAAAGACUGACUGAGUGACUGACUGAUUGAUUGAUUGGGUCCCCUUCAAACCUGUGUCCAACCUUUAUCCCAAAACAGGAUGUUGUGCAGAGGCCAUGAAAACACUGAUCCAAAUAAAAAGCUUACAGCACCUAGUAUUCCCAUUCAGUCUCCCAACCAAGUACUAACCAGGCCCAACUCUGCUUUGCUUCCGAGGUCAGAUGAGAUCAGGCUUUUUCAGAGUGGUAUGGCCGUAAGCGAAAGCUGACCCCAAAUGGGGCCUAUUUAAAUAGUGUAAUCAAAAGACUGACUGACUGACUGACUGACUGACUGACUGACUGAUUGAUUGAUUGAUUGGGUCCCUUCAAACCUGUGUCCAACCUUUAUCCCAAAACAGGAUGUUGUGCAGAGGCCAUGAAAACACUGAUCCAAAUAAAAAGCUUACAGCACCUAGUAUUCCCAUUCAGUCUCCCAACCAAGUACUAACCAGGCCCAACUCUGCUUUGCUUCCGAGGUCAGAUGAGAUCAGGCUUUUUCAGAGUGGUAUGGCCGUAAGCGAAAGCUGACCCCAAAUGGGG